UUUAAUUGUUGAUCAGUUGAAUAUCGAGCUGAUCCAUGUACAAACGUUAGAAAUCUUAUAGUAAAACAUACCUCUCUGUUCAUGAGAGAGCAGCCUAUUUGGUGGCUGCCAUUGACAUUUCUCUUCCGUGGGGAAUUAUCAGCCUUUCUUCUAAUACUAGAGAUUUUUUCCGUCUUUAAAAUGUGAAAUUCCAUUGCUACCUUUAAUUUGGGAUAGAUGCCUUUCAAUUGCUUUGUUUUUGGCUUUGAUUCUCGACUCUGCUAUUGCCAAUUGAUUAUGAACGGAGGAUAAAGCUAAACAAAUGGAUUAUGAAGCAUACUUGUGAAUCAUAAGUUGAAGCUCAAAAGCUCUUUGACAAGAAAAAAAAGAAAAGCUCAAAAGCCAAAUGAGCGUAUGUAAUCGCUUAGCAUCUUAACGUGACGUCAUUUUGUGCCCGAGAAAAACAAGAGGACGUUAAUCAACCAGAGACUAAUCCAGAAGCAUCAGUAAUUUUAAUCUCCACCAAAAAAUAAAAAAGAAAAGGGAGCUGCGGCUAUGUACUAUCUAAGGUUGCCGUUGAAUUCCGCCUGCAGACGUGACAUUGUUUUCACAAUUUUUUUAAUUUUUUUUAAACGGCGAGGACUAGAAAUGUUGUUCUCUUCUUGGCUUCCGAGUUCGACAGAGUCUAGCAAAGCAUUCUGAGCUUCUGCGGCCCGAAAACAGAGGAAGAUGCCGAAGAGAACGACGCACACGUACUCGAGCGAGGACGCAGCUCCUGAUGGUCCAGACUCUGAUCUCUUCGUCUAUUACUGCAAGCAUUGUGGCUCUCACGUCCUUAUUACCGAUACCCAAUUGCAGAAAAUGCCAAAAAGGAAGACUGACAAAGCAUAUGUAUUGGAUAAGAGGAAGCAUCUUGCAAGAUUGAACAUAAAUGAGGCCGGGAAAAUUCUCUUGAAACGGGGUGAAGGGAAAUUGGAGAAGCAAUUUCGUAUGAACUGUAUGGGUUGUAACCUUUUUGUUUGUUAUCGUGCGGAAGAAGAUCUGGAAGCUGCUUCUUUUAUAUAUGUUAUUGAUGGAGCACUUAGUACAAUCGCUGCUGAAACAAAUCCUCAGGAUGCUCCUGUUCCACCGUGUAUAUCACAGUUAGAAGGAGGACUUGUUCAAGUAGCUAUUGAAGUGGAAGAUCGUGCUCAACGCUCAGCAAUAACUAGAGUCAAUGCUGAUGAUGUUCGAGUAACUGUAGCUGCACCUGCAGCCCGUGGGGAAGCUAACAAUGAACUUUUGGAAUUCAUGGGCAAAGUGUUGGGUCUAAGACUGAGCCAGAUGACUCUUCAAAGGGGAUGGAAUAACAAAUCAAAACUCCUCGUUGUGGAGGAUUUGUCUGCUAGAGAGGUUUACGAGAAACUUCUGGAAGCUGUACAGCCUUGAAGCUGGCGCUCAAUGGAUAAGGACGUAUAUCAAUGUUUCAGAUUCGAUAAAUGAGCUGCAAGUGAUUAGACAAUCAAAUACUGAUCAAAUUGAAACUCUUAGUUUGAACCUGAUGUUAAGUGGAUUACUGGUCAGCAAAGUGAAAUUGCAUUACCUGUAAUUGCAUAAAGUGAGAACAGUAACAGAGAUUCAACCAUGAUUUCCAUUUCCACGGCGUUGCUUGAAGGAAGUUCGGUUCGAGCAAGUCUUGGAGAAACCAACAAUGCUUGUAGAAUAUACAAUCAGUGGAGAGAUUUCAUUUUGGAAGAGAAGCUAUAUAGAAGAUAUUGCCAUCUUUUAACUUUCAGUAAAAACACCUCGAGGCUCCAGAAAGAUGUGCGCAAAACACCCUGAAGUUUAUGAGAAACGAUUCACAGAGAAAACUGGGACCACUCUCCUUCAAGGUCCACUAAGGAUAAGCCUGAAGAAAAAGCUCAUUAAUCUCAUCGCUCAUGUUAACAGGCGAAUAUGGGGAAAAAGCCGUCAAUUACGCCCAGUAAAGUUGACCAGAACUAAGGUAAUGCAGGCAAGGUUCAGUGGCUUUAGGUGGUGAUUUUUUUUUUAAAAUCAAUUAAAUAUUUUAAGUAGUUAAAAGUUCUGAUUUGAAAUAAAUCAAAUCACAUGCUCAUAUUUGGCUGAAGAUACUAAGAAAAAUACUGCAGAAUUAGCGUAUUGAGAAGUAAAAACCCUAGAAAUACAGGCCUUUGCGGGGCCUUCGGACAGGUAACCACUAGUGAAGUUUAGAACUUUUUGAGCUUUUUACAUUAACCUAGGCCCGUAACGACCAUCGGAGAAUCCUUUCGCCAAGUGUCAUUUAAACAAGGGUGUUUACGUCAUUUACUCACCAGAUUAUAGAUAGGGAAAAAUCCGCAAAGAAAACCAGAGUUGGCUCCAUGCUGAGACAAUUUUCAACUGAAACAGAAACAAAUGUAGAAAGCGUAGAAUCACCUACCAGGCUUUUUUGUCUCUUCUUGUAUGAAUUCUUGUAUUUGAAUUCCUCUUAACAUUAUAGAUAUUUAUGUUGAGAUCUCCGUUCACUUUUGGUUGGAUUAGUGAUAUGAGUAGCUACUGUCGAAAAAUCCAAAACCACAAGAGCUUAUUAGCUUUGGGCGCUCUUUCUACGUAUUUUGUUCACCACGUGUUUGUUGUUUUAUCUACUUUGUACCAGGCUUGCGAGUCAGGGUCGAGUUUUCUGACGCUAGGGUUUCUGACCUCUGUUUCAAAUUGAAAUUUUAAUAAUUAAUAAAUUUUUAGCCAUAUAGUUUUAGUUUUACCGCCGAAUUGUGAAAAUUUUCUCUAAAAGGUAGUAUUUAUUAACACUUUAACAUUAGUAGUGGAAAGCAUAAAACCAAACUGAAAGUUGAUUGUCAAUGGCCGAAUCAAAACUUAUGGGGUCUGUUGAUGUAUGAAGACCGACAUAGCAAAAUCACAGCUUUCUUAAGAAGCCAAGAAUAAUAAAGCUUUUCUGGAUCGAGUCGUUUCAGAUGCAAGGAGUAGUCGGGACUCUUCCUGCAGGGAUGCGAUUUCCCUUUUGGGUAAGACUAUUGGUCCUUAUUAAAUCUUCCAUUAUGGGUAAUCUACUGUGUCUCUACUGCAGGGCAUUGGAAAAACUCUCAAAUGGGUCCCGGCCGGUGUUAAAUCCAGCUUCGUCAAACACGUGCCUGUGGCUCGUAUGCAUAGGACCAUUCAGCAAUAAAUAUAAAGUUGGCAGCACCUUGAAUCCUCUAGAAAUUCUGUCCCCACACGGGCAUGGUAGUCUAUAUCAACUCCAGCCAGUUUCUAGGCGUUGGGGUAUGAACUCUCUCUUAUUUGGUAACCGACCUAUGUCUCCCUUGUUUUCAUGCAAUCCCGAGGGAUGUCACUAGUCGUUAGCAUUGAUUGAACUAUGGCACCACAGCAAUAAAUGUAGCUUGUCAUUUUCUA